GACGAACGCUGGCGGCGUGCUUAACACAUGCAAGUCGAACGGAAAGGCCCUGCUUUUGUGGGGUGCUCGAGUGGCGAACGGGUGAGUAACACGUGAGUAACCUGCCCUUGACUUUGGGAUAACUUCAGGAAACUGGGGCUAAUACCGGAUAGGAGCUCCUGCUGCAUGGUGGGGGUUGGAAAGUUUCGGCGGUUGGGGAUGGACUCGCGGCUUAUCAGCUUGUUGGUGGGGUAGUGGCUUACCAAGGCUUUGACGGGUAGCCGGCCUGAGAGGGUGACCGGCCACAUUGGGACUGGGAUACGGCCCAGACUCCUACGGGGGGCAGGGGGGGGGAAUAUUGCACAAUGGGCGGAAGCCUGCUGCAGCAACCCCGGGUGCGGGAGGACGGCCUUCGGGUUGGAAACCGCUUUCGCCUGUGACGAGGCGUGAGUGACGGUAAUGGGGAAAGAAGCCCCGGCUAACUACGU
rnacentral:rRNA from 1 species